GACGAACGCUGGCGGCGUGCUUAACACAUGCAAGUCGAACGGAAAGGCCCUGCUUUUGUGGGGUGCUCGAGUGGAGAACGGGUGAGUAACACGUGAGUAACCUGCACUUGACUUUGGGAUAACUUCAGGAAACUGGGGCUAAUACCGGCUAGGAGCUCCUGCUGCAUGGUGGGGGUUGGAAAGUUUCGGCGGUUGGGGAUGGACUGGCGGCUUAUCAGCUUGGUGGAGGGGUAGUGGAUUACCAAGGCUUUGACGGGUAGCCGGGCUGAGAGGGUGACCGGACACAUCACGACUGAGAUACGGCCCAGACUACUAUGGGACGCAGCAGUGGGGAAGAUUGUACUAUGGGCUGAACCCUGAUGCAGCAACGCCGCGUGCGGUAUGACGUCCAUCGGGUUGUAUUCCGCUUCCGCCUUUGACGAAGCGUUAGUGACAGUAAUGGGUAAAGAAGCACCGGCUAACUACGUG
rnacentral:rRNA from 1 species